CAAGUCGUACGAGAACGCUUCAGCUUGCUGAAGCUAGUAAAGUGGCGCACGGGUGAGUAACGCGUGGGUAAUCUACCCUUGAAUCGGGGAUAACGUUGCGAAAGCGACGCUAAUACCGGAUGACAUCUUUAGGACUUCGGUCUUUUGGAUCAAAGGUGGCCUCUCCAUGGAAGCUACUGUUUGAGGAUGAGCCCGCGUCCCAUUAGCUAGUUGGUAGGGUAACGGCCUACCAAGGCGACGAUGGGUAGCUGGUCUGAGAGGAUGAUCAGCCACACUGGAACUGACACACGGUCCAGACUCCUACGGGAGGCAGCAGUGAGGAAUUUUGCGCAAUGGGGGAAACCCUGACGCAGCAACGCCGCGUGAGUGAUGAAGGCUUUCGGGUCGUAAAGCUCUGUCAAGUGGGAAGAACCACCGGAAGGUUAAUAUCCUUUUGGUCUGACGGUACCACUGAAGGAAGCACCGGCUAACUCCGUGCCAGCAGCCGCGGUAAUACGGGGGGUGCAAGCGUUAUUCGGAUUUACUGGGCGUAAAGCGCGCGUAGGCGGCCGUUUAAGUCAGAUGUGAAAGCCCGGGGCUCAACCUCGGAAGUGCAUUUGAUACUAUUCGGCUUGAGUAUGGGAGAGGGAAGUGGAAUUCCUGGUGUAAAGGUGAAAUUCGUAGAUAUCAGGAGGAACACCGGUGGCGAAGGCGACUUCCUGGACCAAUGCUGACGCUGAGGCGCGAAGGCGUGGGGAGCAAACAGGAUUAGAUACCCUGGUAGUCCACGCAGUAAACGGUGAUCACUAGGUGUAGCGGGUAUUGACCCCUGCUGUGCCGCAGCUAACGCAUUAA
rnacentral:rRNA from 1 species